CGAUAUGACAGAGAAAAAAAAACAGGGCCGCACUCACCCACUCCUUCCCUAACCUCCAGAUUCCCUCCCAUCCAUUGCGCCGCCGGCCUCUCUCUUCGUUCUUCCGCCGCGCCGCCAGCCUCCGUCCCCAUGCUUCCACCGCGGCAACGGCCUCCCACCCCGUGCUUUCGCCGCAGCGCCACCUCCCUCCCCGUGCUUCCACCCCGCGCUGGGCUCCCUUACCCUGCUUCCACCCCCUCGCCGGCCUCCCUCCCCCUACUUCCACCCCGGCCACGACCAACCUCCCCUGCUUCCACUCCGGGGAUGGCCUCUCCCCCCUGCUUCCGGCGGCCCGCCCCUCCUCUAUGCGCCAUCCUCCACCAUCGUCGUUGCCAAAACAGAUCCCGCCACUGUUUGCCAGGACCUCGUCGAUGAUCUGUCGUGAGGCCCAGCGCCCCAUCGUCCGACGCGCCUAGCUAGCCCGCUCCCGCCGACCCUCUGCCCUCCCUCACCACGCGACCUGCGUGCUUCCCCCUACGACCACUGCAUGCCGCACCCGCGAGGAAACCAGCCACCCAUCGCUCCGGUCGCCCGUGCCAAAUCCAGAUGCAGUUCAGGGAGUCUUCCUGCUGCAGGUCGCACCGCUCUACCUACCAGCGCCGCAGCCAUGACGGUCGCCUCUUCAUGUGCCCUUGCUCUGCAUCUAGUAGGCUAGAAAUUGCACAUCUGUAUUUGGACGUCAGAGAAAGUGUAAAACAUUAUCUAAAUUCUGAAACUACAUGCUAUCCGUGCUUGCAGAUUGGACACCCUGCACCCAAUCUCCGACACUGUAACCCAUGUACGCCUCGGCGCUGCUGCUCGCGGCCAGGAUCUGGCGCCCAGCAUCCCCAUCGCCUCCAUGUUGCGCGAGCACCGGUGGGUGCAGGCGGCUGUCUUGUCAUCGCAGGUAGAGGAGAACUCGGCCUACAGUUGGAUGGCACACCCACCAGCGACGGAGAGCCACCUCCCGCCGCCGGCCGGCCAUCCCCGAGUCGUCUGUGGCUCUCGCCCUAGCUUUGGAUCCAGCGAGCACCUUAGGGGCGCGCCGGCGAUGCAGGCCACGUACCUCUCCCCAAUCUCUGCAACGAGAAGCCACCGACUGCGGACGGCGAGCUCCUGGAUCCUGCUGAUCUCGCUGUCCCCAACCCACAUGCGUGGCACGGACAUCGUUUCCUAUGACAGUUUCCGACACCCUGUGGUGUUGUUACCGUCAGCUACACCCUGUGGUAUUUGGUUUAAAUUACAGGAUUUUGCAAUUCAUGGUGUCGACGCAGAUUUUCUACCCUAUGAUGAUGAUGGGGACUUUGAUGAGGCAAUUGAUCUUGAUGAUGAUGAGGAUGAGCCAAAUCCUGACGAAUUCCAGUCUCAUGAUGCACUUAGUGGCUGGUCUUCUCGUACCAAGGGUGUUGCAAGAUAUCUCAAGACUUUAUUCGAUGAAGAGUCUGGUCGGGGGAGAAAGAAUGUUGUCAUUGAUCAUCUGGUAAAUGGAAAGUCUCGGAAAGAAGCCUCAAGGAUGUUCUUCGAGACCUUGGUCCUUUCGACGAAGGACUACAUUUAGGUGGAGCAACCAAUUCCCUUUGGUUUAAUAAACGUGAAGCCAGUAUCCAAGCUCCUGAAGACAGAUUUCUAGACCAAGACCAAGACCGCCUAGCAAAAGUGGCAUGAUAUACAUACAUCUUACAAUAUCUGUCACAGCACCAUCAACAACAUACAUAUUGUCUUCUUCAUCUUCGCCAUCGUUGUCGUGACUUGGCCGCUGUUGUUGGUGCGCUGCUACUGAAGUUCAGCUUGAGUGUGAGAGGAAAAAGAUUUCUGAGACAGAUUAGCUGCUGCUGUUGUCCUAGGUUUUUUUGGUCUUAAAUUAUUUCCGUUUCUAGGAAGUGUAUGUGUUGGUUGUGCAUGAAGCACGUGCA
rnacentral:rRNA from 1 species